GGGAUUGUGGCUCAGCGGUAGAGCACUUACCUAGCACGUACAAGGCCCUGGGUUUGAUUCUCAGCACCA
rnacentral:tRNA from 1 species